AUGGAGCUGCUGUUCGAGCUGCUCCUCACGGCGGCGGCCACCCUCCUCGUCGCCUUCCUGCUCGCCAAGCUCCUCUCCGGGAACAAUGAUCCCCCCCGCCGCGAUCGCGCGGCGGGACCGGCUGACGUGAUCGCGGAGGAAAAAGCGGAGGAGGCGGAAGAGGAGAGGGUCAUCGAGGUGGACGAGGUGGGAGCGUGGGCGGAUGUGGCGGCGCCGGCUCUCGCCGAGGGGUGGGUCGAGGUGGAGAAGGCCCCCGCGACCGUCGCGGAGGGGAUGACCGAGUGGGUGGCCGCGGAAGAGGGGGUUCCGGCCACGCUUGCUCCGGAGCUGUUCCUUGGCACCGUGUCGCGGGAGCAGAAGGAGGAGGGUGAAGUUGGCAAGAAGCAGUGCGAUUUAACCGCGGCCGUCGAGGCGGCUGUCGAAGCGAAGCCGCGGGAUUCCGGCGCCGAAGCUGCUCCCAGAGAGGUUCUUGACGUGGAGUUGGAGGAAGAGACAACCCAGCAGAAUGAUCUGGGUGCUGAAGUUGCCCCGAGUGAAGUCCCUGAUGCGGGAGUGCAGAAACAGGAAGUUCAUGCUAUGGAAGCUGUUGAAGUGAAGCAGCUCCAUCUGGAUGUGGGGGCUGCUCCUGCAGAAGUUGUUGAUGCAGGACUGGAGAGGGAGGAGGAGGGAGCUCAAGCUGCUGAAGUGAUUCCGCGUGAAUUGGCUUCCGAGACUCCACCUGCAGAUGUUCUUGACAUCGUACCUGGGAAGCAGCAGGAGCAAGUCAUUGAAGCGAAUCAGCAUGAAUUGGCUCACGUUGUGGCUCCAAGAGUGAUUCCGGACGCCGCAGCAAAGGAUGAGGAAAUGAAAGAACCAUCUGUGGAAGAAGUUGUUGUUCCACAUGAAGAAGUUCACAACAAGGAGGAAGCUCGGCAUGAGGCCGGCACGGAUGAUCAGCAAGAAAAAUUGGUCCCUAAGGACGAGCCGGCUCUUAAGAAAUCUGAUGAUCUAAAUGUCAGCCAAGAAGACAGCUCUAAUGACAAAGUGGAUGUUCAGCUACCGGAGAAGGAUACCACAUUGCUAGGGAUGCCGGAAGAUGAGGCUAGAGCGAGCAUGGAGUUUGAAGAGUGGGAAGGGAUUGAGAGAAGUGAAGUGGAGAAGAGAUUUGGUGCAGCAGCGGCAUUUGCAGCUAGUGACGCCGGGGCGGCUGCUCUGUCGAAGCUGAAUAGCGAUGUGCAGCUGCAGCUGCAGGGACUUCUCAAGGUUGCAGUUGAUGGUCCCUGUUAUGACGCUGCACAACCACUUACACUGAGACCUUCUUCUCGUGCAAAAUGGGUCUCUUGGCAAAAGCUAGGAAACAUGCAUCCUGAGAUUGCUAUGGAAAAAUACAUGAAUCUUUUGUCAGAAUUUCUUCCUGGAUGGAUGGGAGACACAACCCCGAGCACAGAGAAACAGAAAGUUGAUGUUGAUUCUGAAGGGGCCCUUUUAACAAUGACUACUCAUACAAGUGACCCACAGAUCAAUCAAGGGAAUGAAGGUAGUACUAGCAUAGAUGAAGGUCCACUAACAGUUCCUCCUAACCCCGAAAAAGGGCAGAGCUCUGACGUCCCUACCGAAUGA
rnacentral:rRNA from 1 species